rnacentral:piRNA from 1 species
CCUCGUGGGUGCAAGAGCUGAAUGGCCAGC